rnacentral:rRNA from 1 species
AGAGUUUGAUCCUGGCUCAGGAUGAACGCUAGCGGCAGGCUUAACACAUGCAAGUCGAGGGGCAGCGCAGGUAGCAAUACCGGGCGGCGACCGGCAAACGGGUGCGGAACACGUACAGAACCUACCUUGAUCUGGGGCAUAGCCCGGAGAAAUCCGGAUUAACUCCCCAUAAUAUAAGAGAGUGGCAUCACUCAUUUAUUAAAAAUUUAUUGGAUCGAGAUGGCUGUGCGUCCCAUUAGCUAGUUGGUAGGGUAAAGGCCUACCAAGGCGACGAUGGGUAGCUGGUGUGAGAGCACGACCAGCCACACGGGCACUGAGACACGGGCCCGACUCCUACGGGAGGCAGCAGUGAGGAAUAUUGGUCAAUGGACGCAAGUCUGAACCAGCCAUGCCGCGUGAAGGAUGAAGGCCUUCUGGGUUGUAAACUUCUUUUAUGAGGGAAGAAACCCCAUUUUUCUAAAUGGGCCGACGGUACCUUAGGAAUAAGCACCGGCUAACUCCGUGCCAGCAGCCGCGGUAAUAC